AUCAAGAUAAUGGUUUUGUUUAAUAGGGAUUUUUAUCAAUUUUGCCAUUUUUAACAGACAAAGAAAAAUACAUGUAAAAAAGAGUUCAUUUUAAUGUUUGUAGAAAAAAAAAACCAAGUAAACACUAUAACAUAAUGAAUAAAUUAAACAAUGUUAGAAGAUUAGAAUGUUAGAUCACAAUAGUUAAAUGCUUGCAUCAAGACAGUUCCCAAGAC